CCGCAGCGUGUGCGGCGGUUGCUGGGCGCAGGGGAGGCUCGCGGCGGCGGGGCGCUAAAGGAGUUGUAGGUGGCAUACUUCAUGAUCUCCUAACUUCUUUUCGGGACAUAAUUUUUGGUGUGCUACUAGGAACAUUUUUGGGAAUUUUUCUUCGAUAUUUUCCAAGUGAAGAUCAGACAAAUCUUCCAAUGAAGAGAGCAGGCCUUAUUUUGAGUUUGUGUGUUUCUGCCGUCAUAGUCAGCAAAAGCAUCAGUAUACAUGGAGCCGGAGGAUUAUUCACACUAAUGUCGACUUUCAUUGGAGG